rnacentral:rRNA from 1 species
CCUACGGGCGGCAGCAGUGGGGAAUAUUGCACAAUGGGGGAAACCCUGAUGCAGCGACGCCGCGUGAGUGAAGAAGUAUCUCGGUAUGUAAAGCUCUAUCAGCAGGGAAGAAAAUGACGGUACCUGUUUAAGAAGCCCCGGCUAACUACGUGCCAGCAGCCGCGGUAAUACGUAGGGGGCAAGCGUUAUCCGGAUUUACUGGGUGUAAAGGGAGCGUAGACGGCAGCACAAGUCUGGAGUGAAAUGCCGGGGCUUAACCCCGGAACUGCUUUGGAAACUGUGCAGCUAGAGUGCAGGAGAGGUAAGUGGAAUUCCUAGUGUAGCAGUGAAAUGCGUAGAUAUUAGGAGGAACACCAGUGGCGAAGGCGGGUUACUGGACUGUAACUGACGUUGAGGCUCGAAAGCGUGGGGAGCAAACGGGAUUAGAUACCCGAGUAGUC